rnacentral:rRNA from 1 species
GGAUUAGAUACCCUGGUAGUCCACGCCGUAAACUAUGAUUACUCGUUUUCGGCGAUAUACAGUCGGAGACUAAGCGAAAGUGAUAAGUAAUCCACCUGGGGAGUACGAUCGCAAGGUUGAAACUCAAAGGAAUUGACGGGGGCCCGCACAAGCGGUGGAGCAUGUGGUUUAAUUCGAAGCAACGCGCAGAACCUUACCAGGCCUUGACAUGUCCGUUACCGGGACCAGAGAUGGACCCUUCGGUUCGGCCGGACGGAACACAGGUGCUGCAUGGCUGUCGUCAGCUCGUGCUG